rnacentral:rRNA from 1 species
GACAGAGGAUGCAAGCGUUAUCCGGAAUUAUUGGGCGUAAAGGGCGCGUAGGCGGCCACCGCAAGUCGACUGUGAAAUCUCCGGGCUUAACUCGGAAAGGUCAGCCGAUACUGCGGGGCUAGAGUGCAGAAGGGGCAACUGGAAUUCUCGGUGUAGCGGUGAAAUGCGUAGAUAUCGAGAGGAACACCUGCGGCGAAGGCGGGUUGCUGGGCUGACACUGACGCUGAUUGUGCGAAAGCUAGGGGAGCGAACGGG